rnacentral:rRNA from 1 species
AGCGUUGUCCGGAUUAUUGGGCGUAAAGCGCGCGCAGGCGGAUCAGUUAGUCUGUCUUAAAAGUUCGGGGCUUAACCCCGUGAUGGGAUGGAAACUGCUGAUCUAGAGUAUCGGAGAGGAAAGUGGAAUUCCUAGUGUAGCGGUGAAAUGCGUAGAUAUUAGGAAGAACACCAGUGGCGAAGGCGACUUUCUGGACGAAAACUGACGCUGAGGCGCGAAAGCCAGGGGAGCGAACGGGAUUAGAUACCCCGGUAGUCCUGGCCGUAAACGAUGGGUACUAGGUGUAGGAGGUAUCGACCCCUUCUGUGCCGGAGUUAACGCAGUAAGUACCCCGCCUGGGGAGUACGACCGCAAGGUUGAAACUCAAAGGAAUUGACGGGGGCCCGCACAAGCGGUGGAGUAUGUGGUUUAAUUCGACGCAACGCGAAGAACCUUACCAGGUCUUGACAUUGAUGGACAGAACUAGAGAUAGUUCCUCUUCUUCGGAAGCCAGAAAACAGGUGGUGCACGGUUGUCGUCAGCUCGUGUCGUG